AUUUUCUCGGCACACAAAGAAGGAAGACUCAGCAACAAAUUAGGAUUUGGGGAUUAGGGUUCUUGUUGUCCACCAUGAAAGAAGCUUGAAGGUGAUAGGCGAUCAAUCUAAUUGUUGAGGUUCAGAAGCUUCCAAUUUUUGCACCAUUAGAUAAUAGGACGACCAUCAAGGAGACCAUCCAUGAUGCAUUUGAGAUGUAUUUCCCAUAAAGAAUGAAAGCACGUAAAAUUAUCAACAAAUGCCCAGCGGGAGUAAUGUAUUUCCAACCUACGUGUCGUAAAUAAUCAAAUAAUAUCGACUACGGAGAUUAUGUUAUGAGGAUGAUGAAGAAUGUACUUAUAAAUGCCCCUCAUAUCAAACCUUUCUUAUCGAAACAGUUCACCUCUGACAAACCAUAUACUACUCAAGAAAUUGACGAAGUUCGAGAAGAAUGGACGAUUUCAUUUUUACAAUUGGGUAUCACCAAGAAACUGAACCGACCUUCAAUUUUCUUCACAGCCUUCCAAAGAAUCCUUAGAAUCACCUAGACUAGAGUGGGCAAUUCUCAACACAUGAGAUAGAUACAAAGAGAAGAAGAAUAGAAGAAAAAAAUUGUGGCUUAGAAAAAGACUUAUGUUGUA